UUAUGAGGAGAGGGCUCUCUACCUGGAGGCCAUCAUUCAGAACCACAAGGAGAACAUGACCUUUGAAGACUUUGCUGCCCAGGUCUUCUCGCCUUCCCCCAGCUACUGGCCAACGGGAGGUGCAGAUUAAGUGUGUUACAGGUGUCAGUACAGUAACGGAAGGUAAGAGUCUCGGUCUGAACGGAGCUUGCGUUCUGUCACAGAGACCCCUCCCCCUUUCCCCGGCUCGUCUACUCAUCUUCCCUCUUUAUUUCCACUAAUGAGCUGCGUCUGCUCGGAGCUUUUUAAGGAACACAGAGGCAGAGCUGCAUUGGGGCUGGCUGUUCUGAAAUCGUAACACAGUAGCAGCAUGAAUGGGUCGCAAUCCUCCUCUCCUGCAUGUCUCUGCUUUAUUCUCUCUUUUUCCCCUCUUUUCUCCUGUUGCUUUGUCCUAUGGUGUGUGUCUGUUUGCCUGAGGCCACAUCUGACACUAACACCUGCCCUACUGGAAAAUGUCUUUGUCACUUAUGCUUUUGUUUGGAUUGCUGCAGGGAGCCAAUGGGAAUGAGGGCCACUUACUUUACAUAUAUAUAUAUAUAUACAUGCAUGUGCACAUAUAAAGGCCAAACGGGCAAUAAUUAUAUAGCAUUUUAUGCAUGUAACAUUACUUCUAGCCUGUCAAUUAACAUUACAUUUUUUUUUAUUUAGUCCCCAUGUGUUCAGAGAUUAGAAUAUAAAGCUUACAAAACGUUUUUCAUAUAUUAGUGCUAGAACCCAGAAUCUGCCCCACCUAAAUUUACGGUAAGGAGCUGCUACUGCUCAGACUGCAGCUAUGAGCCGCCUACAGAUGCCUACGCAAAUGAAGCUAAUUAGCAACAUGAUGACAUUAGCGUCUCUAUGGGAAUGGGAAGUGAAAGCAGACACUGGUUUUGUUUGCCACAAAAUAACAUAUCCUGGCUAUAUUUCACCCCCAAAUCCCUGUUCUUCUUCUGAGCAGUGGAGACCCCUGGGCUUCUAAUUACACGGUAAAAAUGAUUUUUCACAUUGUAAAAAAAAAAAAAAAUCUACUACAAAGUUUGUGUUAUGUUUAAUUCUGUUUUGGGAUCAAUGAGUUCUGAUUUCCUUUUUUGCCUGUUUGCCCGCCUGUGUUUCUCAUUAGUUUGCAUAGUUUACUCAUUUAGUUCCU
rnacentral:lncRNA from 1 species